rnacentral:rRNA from 1 species
UACGUAGGGUGCAAGCGUUGUCCGGAAUUAUUGGGCGUAAAGAGCUCGUAGGCGGUUUGUCGCGUCUGCUGUGAAAACUCGGGGCUUAACUCCGGGCCUGCAGUGGGUACGGGCAGACUAGAGUGCGGUAGGGGAGACUGGAAUUCCUGGUGUAGCGGUGAAAUGCGCAGAUAUCAGGAGGAACACCGGUGGCGAAGGCGGAUCUCUGGGCCUUACCUGACGCUGAGGCGCGAAAGCGUGGGGAGCAAACAGG